CGUCAGAGUGUCGCUUUCCUCCUCGAAGGUAAGUGGACGUAAUCGCCCUGGCUCCAUCCUAAUAAAGCUCCGUGUUAUUUAUAGUGCUUUUGUUGAUAGUAAAUGGUCAAGUCUGUGUCGGUCGGCUAAGCGUCUAGCUAUGAGCAGUAGCAAUUUAAAGGGUUUUAUAUGUGUAUUUGUCAUGCUAAUGGUACGAGUCUUCCGGAGAACUCUUAGGACGCUUUCGACUUUGAAGUUCAUACUGCACUGUUUGUUAACGUGGCCGCUGGAAAGCCGUCUGUCUAAAACAGUGGCAUGUCCACAGUAUGUCUGUGUCCUAACUUGCUGUGGGGCUCCCAACACGAGCACAAACCAUCGCCCAGGUGUGAGAAGACGACCUCUUGCUGACCCCUCAAUCCAACUCUUGUCGCUGCUCUAUCUUUUGUCUCUGCCUUCCUUCUAUCUUUCACCUCUCAAGAUGUAUAUAAAAAAAAAAAAAAAAAAAAAAAAAGGGGGUGGGGGGGGGCAAGAGAUGUAAGGCUCGCAAAGUUGAACUGGGAGAAGCGUGCUCAAAACCACUCCCGGGCACCUGUUGCAUCCUCUGGUGAUUUCUAUGCCACUGCCGCGCACUUCGGUGCGCGCAAUUUGCCCGCCGCAGUUGCAAGCAACGAUUUCCGUGCCUUUGCGCCAUUUGAAAGCAAGGAUUUCCGUGGCGCGGCUGCCGCACGCCUCGAGAACUGCGCCAGUGUCGGGGUCCCGAUUUCCUCGCCCCGUCUUCGGAGAGCCGCACCUGUCGGAGACCCGAUGACUGACGAGCCUGUCGAGGGAAAAGCUCUGCUGCGACACGAUCGGGUGACGAAGUUGCAUCACUCGACCGGCGCUGAUCGAGAUCUCGUUCGUGUACUUUGGCUGUUUUGAAGGCCCGAGGACGAUGCACGGACAGUCGUUUGGCAACGGAUGAAAUUCCGGCGAUUGUUCGUGGUUUGGGAAAAAAAAAAAACCAGACGUGUAAAUAAACGUGUCAAUCGACGUA